CCAAUAGCGUAUAUUAAAGUUGUUGCAGUUAAAAAGCUCGUAGUUGAAUUUCGGGGUUAGUAGAUUGGUCAUGCCUCUGGUAUGUACUGGUCUCACUGAUUCCUCCUUCCUGAUGAGCCGUAAUGCCAUUAAUUUGGUGUUGCGGGGAAUUUGGACUGUUACUUUGAAAAAAUUAGAGUGUUUAAAGCAAGCUAACGCUU
rnacentral:rRNA from 1 species